rnacentral:tRNA from 7 species
AGAGAAUUAGCUCAGCUGGGAGAGCAUCUGCCUUACAAGCAGGAGGUCGGGGGUUCGAUCCCCUCAUUCUCUACCA